rnacentral:rRNA from 1 species
UACGGAGGGAGCUAGCGUUGUUCGGAAUUACUGGGCGUAAAGCGUGCGCAGGCGGCUUGCCAAGUCAGAUGUGAAAGCCCCGGGCUCAACCCGGGAACUGCGUUUGAAACUGGCAGGCUAGAGUUUGGCAGAGGGGGGUGGAAUUCCACGUGUAGCAGUGAAAUGCGUAGAGAUGUGGAGGAACACCGAUGGCGAAGGCAGCCCCCUGGGCCAAAACUGACGCUCAGGCACGAAAGCGUGGGGAGCAAACAGG